rnacentral:rRNA from 1 species
AAUGAACGUUGGCGGCGUGGAUUAGGCAUGCAAGUCGAGCGCGAUAUGUAGCAAUACAUGGAGAGCGGCGAAAGGGAGAGUAAUACGUAGGUAUCUACCCUCGGGUCUGGGAUAGCAGCGGGAAACUGCUGGUAAUACCAGAUAACGUCUCCGGACCAAAGGUGUGAUUCCACCUGAGGAGGAGCCUACGGCCUAUUAGCUAGUUGGUGGGGUAAUGGCCUACCAAGGCAGAGAUGGGUAUGGGGUGUGAGAGCAUGCCCCCACUCACUGGGACUGAGACACUGCCCAGACACCUACGGGUGGCAG